CAAGUCCUGUAGUGGAGCCACGUCGAUUUGCAAACUCGAAGAAGCCACAGUAAGUGGCCCGGACU
rnacentral:tRNA from 1 species